UAGAUACCCUAUUAUUUGAAAUGUAAUUUAUUUAUUAAAGUAGUAAUAGUUAUGUUCUUGAAACUUAAAAAAUUUGGCGGUAUUUUAGUCUAUUCAGAGGAACCUGUUCUAUAAUCGAUAAUCCACGUUGGACCUUACUUAAAUUUGUUUUCAGUAUGUAUACCGUCGUUAUAAGAAUAUUUUAUAAGAAUAAUAAUUUUCUAGAUUUUUUAUAAAAAUUUAUAUCAGAUCAAGGUGCAGCUUAUAUUUAAGUAGAAAUGGGUUACAAUAAUAUAAUUUAUACGGAUUAAUGUUUGAAAAAAUAUUAUGAAGGUGGAUUUGAAUGUAAAAUUAUUAAGAUAAAUAAUUUGAUUUUAGCU
rnacentral:rRNA from 1 species